GACGAACGCUGGCGGCGUGCCUAAUACAUGCAAGUAGAACGCUGAAGGAGGAGCUUGCUUCUCUGGAUGAGUUGCGAACGGGUGAGUAACGCGUAGGUAACCUGCCUGGUAGCGGGGGAUAACUACUGGAAACGAUAGCUAAUACCGCAUAAUAGUAGAUGUUGCAUGACAUUUGCUUAAAAGGUGCAAUUGCAUCACUACCAGAUGGACCUGCGUUGUAUUAGCUAGUUGGUGAGGUAACGGCUCACCAAGGCGACGAUACAUAGCCGACCUGAGAGGGGGAUCGGCCACACUGGGACUGAGACACGGCCCAGACUCCUACGGGAGGCAGCAGUAGGGAAUCUUCGGCAAUGGACGGAAGUCUGACCGAGCAACGCCGCGUGAGUGAAGAAGGUUUUCGGAUCGUAAAGCUCUGUUGUAAGAGAAGAACGAGUGUGAGAGUGGAAAGUUCACACUGUGACGGUAUCUUACCAGAAAGAGACGGCUAACUACGUG
rnacentral:rRNA from 1 species